rnacentral:lncRNA from 1 species
CAGGAAAUCCAGGACAGACAUAUCUGGCAAGCUCCAUAUAUCAACAAUAGAACACUGACUAUAGAGAGAGGUAACAUAGUAGGAAAAGUGUUUGAUUUCAGCAUACACCAACUUCCUUCCAUAAAAAUACCUUGUAAAUGUGACUUAUGUGGUAUGAGUUUGCAAUACAUUUCAGAUUUAUUUAAUAGUAAGAAAAACUAUUUAAGAAAGAUGCCUCAUGACCUCAGUGCAUAUGGAAAACUAUUCCUCAAUAGUAACCAUGAAAAAACUCAUAUGGAAGAGAAACCUUAUGAGUUUAUUCAAAAUGGAAAAUGUCUCAGUCAUAAGGAGGACUUCAUUUCAUAUCUGAGAAUUCAAAAUUUAGAGCAAUCUUUUGAAUAUAAGGAAUGUGAAAAGGAUUUCUAUGGAAAGGCAGUUUUCAUUACAUAUAAGCAAGCUUACACAGGAGCGAGUCCUUGUGUACACAAUGAAUGUAAUAAAGUGUUCUGUAAUAAUUCAACUCUCAUGGUCCAUAAAAUGUCAGAAAAAAGAGAAAACUUUUAUGAGUUUAAUGAAUAUGAAAAAACCUUUGAGAAGUCCCCUUUCUUGAAACAUAAAGUUCAUUUGGAGGUGAAACACUAUAAACAUAUUGAAAGUGUAGGAAUUUUAACAGAUCAAGCUUUCCUAACACAAGAGAGAAAAUAUUUGAAAGUAACAAAUCAGGGGAAGCUUUGUGCGAGAAGUCAGUACUUAAUGUAACUCAGAGAACACACAGAGGAGAGGAAGUCUGUGGAUGUGAGCCAUGUGUAAAACCAUUCUAUGAAAAGUCAAAGCUAACCAAACAUCAAAGAAUCCAUACAGGGGAGAAACCCUAUGAAUGUAAUAAAUGUGAAAAAUGCUUUUCUAGGAAAUCUCUCCUCACUCUACAUCAGAGAGUCCACACAGGAGAGAAACCCUAUGUAAGGAAUGUGGGAAAUGCUUUUCUAGGAAUUCACACCUCAUAAUACAUCAGAGAACUCACACAGGAGAGCAACCCUGUGAAUGCAAGGAAUGUAGAAAAAGCUUCUAUCAUAAGUCAUAUCUUACAGUACAUCAGAGAAUUCACACAGGGGAGAAACCCUAUGAAUGUAAUCAAUGUGGAAAAACCUUCAUAAGCAACUCUGUUCUCACAAUACAUCGUAAAACAUAUACAGGUGAGAAACCCUAUGAAUGUAAUGAAUGUGGGAAAUCUUUCUCUAGGAGUUCAUAUCUUACAAUACAUCAGAGAACUCACCCAGGCGAGAAACCCUAUGAAUGUAAGGUAUGUAGCAAAACCUUUUGCCACAAGUCUGAUGCCACUAAACAUCAGAAGACUCACCUAGGGGGAAAACCCUAUGAAUGUACUCAAUGUGGGAAAACUUUUAGUCGUAACUCAGGCCUAAAAGUACAUCAGAGAACACAUGCAAAGGAGAAACCCUAUGAAUAUACUGAGUGUGGGAAAUCCUUCUCUGAGAAAUCAGUCCUCACAGUACAUCAGAGAAUACACACAGGGGAAAAACCUUAUAAAUGUAAUGCACGUGGAAAAACCUUCUACAAUAAAUCAGACCUAACCAAACAUCAGAGAACACACACAGGUGAGAAGCCCUGUGAAUGUAAGGAAUGUGGGAAAUUCUUCUCUAGGAAUUCAUACCUUACAAUACACCAGAGAAUGCAUACAGGAGACAAACCCUAUGUGUGUAAAAAAUGUGGGAAAACCUUCUACCAUAAGGCAGACUAUACAGUACAUAAGAGAACACACAGAGGGGAGAAAUCUUAUUACUGUAAUAAAUGUGGGAAAACCUUUAUUUGCAACUCAGUCCUCAAAUCACAUCAGAGAACACACACAGGGGAGAAGCCCUAUGGAUGUAAUGAGUGUGGGAAGUCCUUCUCUGAGAAAUCAGUCCUUACUGUACAUCAGAGAAUACACACAGGGGAAAAACCUUAUAAAUGUAAUGAAUGAGGGAAGUCCUUCUAUCAUAAGUCAGAUCUCACUAAACAUUAGAGAACACAUACAGUAGAGAAACCCUAUGAAU